UGGAUCUUAGUGGCGAACGGGUGAGUAACGCGUAGGCAAUCUGCCUUCUAGAUGGGGACAACAUCCCGAAAGGGGUGCUAAUACCGAAUGUUGUACCGUUUCCGCAUGGAGAUGAUACUAAAGGUGGCCUCUGAAUAUGCUACCGCUAGAAGAUGAGCCUGCGUCUGAUUAGCUAGUUGGAGGGGUAACGGCCCACCAAGGCUUCGAUCAGUAGCCGGUCUGAGAGGAUGAACGGCCACACUGGGACUGAGACACGGCCCAGACUCCUACGGGAGGCAGCAGUGGGGAAUCUUCCGCAAUGGACGAAAGUCUGACGGAGCAACGCCGCGUGAGUGAAGAAGGUUUUCGGAUCGUAAAGCUCUUUCGUUAGGGACGAACGUGCUCUUUGUGAAUAAUGAGGAGUAAUGACGGUACCUAAAUAAGAAGCCACGGCUAACUACGUGCCAGCAGCCGCGGUAAUAC
rnacentral:rRNA from 1 species